AACGCACAUUGCGCCCUUUGGUAUUCCAAAGGGCAUGCCUGUUCGAGCGUCAUUUGUACCCUCAAGCUUUGCUUGGUGUUGGGCGUCUUUUGUCUUUGGCCUCGCCCAAAGACUCGCCUUAAAACGAUUGGCAGCCGGCCUACUGGUUUCGCAGCGCAGCACAUUUUUGCGCUUGCAAUCAGCAAAAAGGACGGCAAUCCAUCAAGACUACAUUUUUACGUUUGACCUCGGAUCAGGUAGGGAUACCCGCUGAACUUAA
rnacentral:misc_RNA from 2 species